rnacentral:ribozyme from 1 species
UGCCCAGCAACUCCAAUCCCUACCUCCUCGCGGUAUUGGCCGGGGUACGAGUAACCUUGGGGAAGAUCGGGUAACCAUCCUCCGGUGGGAACUUUGGUCGUAUGCUGACAGGGAAGG